UGUGGGAUUGCACAGACAACCAGGAUGUUGGCUUAGAAGCAGCCACUCAUUCAAAGAGUGCGUAAUAGCUCACUGGUCGAGUGAUCCUGCGCCGAAGAUUUCCGGGGCUAAAACUUACUACCGAAGCUACGGCAUCAGUAAUGAUGGGUAGGGGAGCUUCCCAUACGGGUUGAAGCAUGACCGUAAGGACAUGGGGACAGUAUGGGAGUGAGAAUGUUGGCAUGAGUAGCGAGAUGUGGGUGGGAAUCCCACAGGCCGUAAACCCAAGGUUUCCAGGGGAAGGUUCGUCCGCCCUGGGUUAGUCGGGACCUAAGCUGAGGCCGAAAGGCGUAGGUGAUGGACAACAGGUUGAUAUUCCUGUACUACCGAUAACCGUUUGAGAGAAGGGAUGACACAGUAGGAUAAGCUAAGCACACUGUUGGUUAUGUGUGCCCAAGCAUUGAGGCAGUCAAAGUAGGCAAAUCCGCUUUGAUAAUGCUGGGAUGUGUUGGGGAGCGAAAUUUAGUAGCGAAGUAGCUGAUUUCACACUGUCAAGAAAAGUCUCUAUCGAGGUUAAAGGUACCCGUACCGCAAACCGACACAGGUG
rnacentral:rRNA from 1 species